AGGGUCAGGAGCCUGAAUUUGAGGAGGCUCUUCUAUUCCUAUGCUGUCUACAGCUGCCGGUGUCUGGAAAUCUACUUGAUGUGUACAGCAGUCAGGGAGUGGCUACCCCAGCUAUCACCGUCAGCAAUUCCUGUCCAGCUGAGCUGCCUAACAUCAAACGCGAGAUCUCCGGUAAGUGUUAGGGACUUGGCCCUUUAUCCCACCCUGUCCUGCCCUGUCACAACCAGAGCUGGAGCUAGGUCUAGUUCUAGGGAAGGGGUUUGAACUUUUCAGAAACGGGUUGAGGCUGGGGCUGGGAGGGUAGCUUAGAGUCUGUUAGACUCUACUGGGGUGCUUCUAUCCCAAGCACCCCAGAGAAGCAAAGACAGUUGCUUUCCCUUUUUUUUGUUUUUUGUUUUGUUGUUUUUAUCUCAUGGCUCUUGGUCUGACUUUCACAUUGUUUUCUCUGACUUCCUCUUAUCUUGGGUGUAACAGAAGGCCUGUGCCACCCCAGUUUCAUUUUAAAAAGUAGCAAAGAGAGACAUUUUACUUAUUUAUUUAUUUUUUGAGACAUAGCUUCACUCUAUAGCCUAGGCUGACCUCAAAUUCCCAACAGCUCUCUUGCUGGGGCCUCCCGAGUGCUGAAACUACAGAGCUAUGUACAAAUGCCCAGCUCUGGAACUCCCUAUAUAGCCCAGGCUGGCAUUGAACUUGGAGCAAUCUUCCUGCCUCUCCUUACAAUGCUUGGAUUAUAGGCAUGAACUACCAUGCCUGGCUCAAGACAUCUUUUAAAACAAUCAACAACAGUAUGGUGGUCCAUGAUUGUGGUCCCAGCACUUGGAAGACAGUAUGGGCUAUGGCUACGUAUUGAGGCCCUGUCUCAAAAAAAGAAGAAGAAAAAGAGGAGAAGAAGAAAGAGGAGAAACAGAAACA
rnacentral:lncRNA from 1 species